rnacentral:rRNA from 1 species
ACAUGUUCACAUGAUUAAAGGUAUUCCGGUAGACGAUGGGGAUGCGUUCCAUUAGAUAGUAGGCGGGGUAACGGCCCACCUAGUCUUCGAUGGAUAGGGGUUCUGAGAGGAAGGUCCCCCACAUUGGGAACUGAGACACGGUCCAAACUCCUACGGGAGGCAGCAGUGAGGAAUAUUGGUCAAUGGGCGAGAGCCUGAACCAGCCAAGUAGCGUGAAGGAUGACUGCCCUAUGGGUUGUAAACUUCUUUUAUAAAGGAAUAAAGUCGGGUAUGCAUACCCGUUUGCAUGUACUUUAUGAAUAAGGAUCGGCUAACUCCGUGCCAGCAGCCGCGGUAAUACGGAGGAUCCGAGCGUUAUCCGGAUUUAUUGGGUUUAAAGGGAGCGUAGAUGGAUGUUUAAGUCAGUUGUGAAAGUUUGCGGCUCAACCGUAAAAUUGCAGUUGAUACUGGAUAUCUUGAGUGCAGUUGAGGCAGGCGGAAUUCGUGGUGUAGCGGUGAAAUGCUUAGAUAUCACGAAGAACUCCGAUUGCGAAGGCAGCCUGCUAAGUUGCAACUGACAUUGAGGCUCGAAAGUGUGGGUAUCAAACAGGAUUAGAUACCCUGGUAGUCCACACGGUAAACGAUGAAUACUCGCUGUUUGCGAUAUACAGUCAUAGCGGUCCAAGUCGAAAGUCGUUUAAGUAUUCCACCUGUGUUGUA